UACGUAGGGGGCGAGCGUUGUCCGGAUUUAUUGGGCGUAAAGGGCGCGUAGGCGGCCACCGCAAGUCGACUGUGAAAUCUCCGGGCUUAACCCGGAAAGGUCAAUCGAUACUGCAGGGCUAGAGUGCAAAAGGGGCAACUGGAAUUCUCGGUGUAGCGGUGAAAUGCGUAGAUAUCGAGAGGAACACCUGCGGCGAAGGCGGGUUGCUGGGCUGACACUGACGCUGAAGCGCGAAAGCUAGGGGAGCGAACGGG
rnacentral:rRNA from 1 species